GCUUGUCUCAAAGAUUAAGCCAUGCAUGUCUAAGUAUAAACAAAUCUAUACUGUGAAACUGCGAAUGGCUCAUUAUAUCAGUUAUAGUUUCUUUGAUGGUUCUUACUACUUGGAUAACCGUAGUAAUUCUAGAGCUAAUACAUGCAUGAACCCCCGACUUUUGAAGGGGUGUAUUUAUUAGAUUGAAACCAAUGCGGGUUCCCCGGUAUUUGGUGAUUCAUAAUAACUCCUCGAAUCGCAUGGCCUUGCGCCGGCGAUGUUUCAUUCAAAUUUCUGCCCUAUCAAUUUGAUGGUAGGAUAGAGGCCUACCAUGGUGGUAACGGGUGACGGAGAAUUAGGGUUCGAUUCCGGAGAGGGAGCCUGAGAAACGGCUACCACAUCCAAGGAAGGCAGCAGG
rnacentral:rRNA from 1 species